rnacentral:tRNA from 1 species
AGCCCUGCAGUUGCGGAAACGUCAGAUUGCAAAUCUGAAGGAGCAGGCUAGAAGCCUGACGGGGCUU